GACGAACGCUGGCGGCGGGCUUAACACAUGCAAGUCGAACGGAAAGGCCCUGCUUUUGUGGGGCGCUCGAGUGGCGAACGGGUGAGUAACCCGGGAGUAACCUGCCCUUGACUUUGGGAUAACUUCAGGAAACUGGGGCUAAUACCGGAUAGGAGCUCCUGCUGCAUGGUGGGGGUUGGAAAGUUUCGGCGGUGGGGGAUGGACUCGCGGGUUAUCAGCUGGUUGGUGGGGGAGUGGCUUACCAAGGCUUUGACGGGUAGCCGGCCUGAGAGGGUGAACGGCCACAUUGGGACUGAGAUAGGGAGCAGACUCCUACGGGAGGCAGCAGUGGGGAAUAUUGCACAAUGGGCGGAAGCCUGAUGCAGAAACGCCGCGUGCGGGAUGACGGCCUUCGGGUUGUAAACCGCUUUCGCCUGUGACGAAGCGUGAGUGACGGUAAUGGGUAAAGAAGCACCGGCUAACUACGUG
rnacentral:rRNA from 1 species